rnacentral:tRNA from 1 species
GGAAAUAUAGUUCAGAGGUAGAGCAUUUGCCUAGUAUGUAAGAGGUCCUAUGUUCAAUCCUUGGUAACUCCC